rnacentral:lncRNA from 1 species
CUCAAGUUUGGCCCUCAAUGCUGGGAUUACAGGUGUGAGCCACCGAGCCCAGCCAUAUCAGGGGAACCAGCCCCCAGUAUUUCAACGUAGUUUCUUUUCUAUUUUCCCUAAGUGUCAGCCGGUCCGGGAAAUAAAUGAGAAUGAGUACAAAGAGAAGAAUUUUACAGCUGGGCCACCGGGGGUGGCAUCACAUAUCGACAGGUUCCAUGAUGCCCACCUGAGCCGCAAAACCAGCAAGUUUUUAUUAGGGAUUUCAAAAGGGGAGGGGGUGUACAAAUAGGGAGUGGGUCACAGAGAUCACAUGCUUCAGUGGGCAACAAAAGAUCACAUGCUUCAGUGGGCAAUAAAAGAUCACAAGGCGAAGGGCAGAGCAAGAUCACAUGGCAAGAGCAAAAUUAGAAUUACUGAUGAGGGUCCAUGUCCCGCUGGGCACGCAUUUCUUAAUAAACAUCUUAACAGGAAACAGUGUUGGAGAGCAGACAACUGGUCUAACUAGAAUUUACCAGGCUGGAAUUUCCCAAUCCUAGUAAGCCUGAGGGCACUGCAGGAGACCAGGGUGUAUUUCAUCCCUUCUCUCAACCGCAUAAGACAGACACUCCCAGAGCAGCCGUCUAUAGACCUACCCCUGGGAAUGCAUUCCUUUCCCAGGGUAUUAAUUAUUAAUAUUCCUUGCUGGGAAAAGAAUUCAAUGAUAUUUCUCCUACUCACACAUCCAUCUAUAGGCUUUCUGCAAGAAGAAAAAUAUGGCUCUAUUCUGUCCUAUCCCACAGGCAGUCAGACCUUAUGGUUAUCUUUCCUUGUUCCCUGAAAAUUGCUGUUAUUUUGUUCUUUUUCAGGGUGCACUGAUUUCGUAUUGUUCAAACACACGUUUUACAAACAAUUUGUACAGUUAACGCAAUCAUCACAGGGUCCUGAGGUGACAUACGUCCUCAGCUUACAAAGAUAAUGUGAUUAAGAGUUAAAGACAGGCAUAAGAAAUUAUAAGAGUAUUAGUUGGGGAAGUGAUAAAUGUCCAUGAAAUUGUCACAAUUUAUGUUCAGAGAUUGCAGUAAAGAUAGGCAUAAGAAAUUAUAAAAGUAUUAAUUUUGGGAACUGAUAAAUGUCCAUGAAAUCGUCAAAAUUUAUGUUCUUCUACCAUGGCUUCAGCCAGUUCCUCUGUUUGGGAUCCCUGACUUCCUACAACAUGGCCACCUUUUUAUUUUUUUAAUCAUGGCUACUAGAAAAUUUUAAAUAACAUAUGUAGCACAAAGUAGAUUUCUCUUGGCUGUCAAUGGUACAGAAGUUCUGAAAGAUAUAAUUAACAGUUAAUUUCAUAGAUAUAUAUUUAACUCUCAUUUUCUUCAAACAUAACAUAAAGUUUUGCCAGGCGUGGUGGCUCAAGCCUGUAAUCCCAGCACUUUGGGAGGCCGAGGCAGGAGAAUCUCCUGAGCCCAGGAGGUGGAGGCUGCAGUGAGUCGAAAUUAGCCAGGUGUGGUGGUGGGCACGUGUAAUCCCAGCUCCUCGGGAGGCUGAGGCAGGAGAAUUGUUUGAACCACGGAGGCAGAGGUUGCAGUGAGCUGAGAUUGCACCAUUGCA